UACGUAGGGGGCAAGCGUUGUCCGGAUUUAUUGGGCGUAAAGAGCGUGUAGGCGGCCAUACAGGUCAGCUGUGAAACUUCGAGGCUCAAACCUCGAAGACGUCGGUUGAAACCGUAUGGCUAGAGUCCGGAAGAGGAGAGUGGAAUUCCCGGUGUAGCGGUGGAGUGCGUAGAGAUCGGGAAGAACAUCAGUGGCGAAGGCGCCUGCUGGCUGUUGCUGACGCUGAGGCGCGACAGCGUGGGAGCAAACAGG
rnacentral:rRNA from 1 species